rnacentral:rRNA from 1 species
CCUACGGGAGGCAGCAGUAGGGAAUCUUCCACAAUGGGCGAAAGCCUGAUGGAGCAACGCCGCGUGGGUGAAGAAGGUCUUCGGAUCGUAAAACCCUGUUGUUAGAGAAGAAAGUGCGUGAGAGUAACUGUUCACGUUUCGACGGUAUCUAACCAGAAAGCCACGGCUAACUACGUGCCAGCAGCCGCGGUAAUACGUAGGUUGCAAGCGUUCUCCGGAUUUAUUGGGCGUAAAGGUAACGCAGGCGGUCUUUUAAGUCUGAUGUGAAAGCCUUCGGCUUAACCGGAGUAGUGCAUUGGAAACUGGGAGACUGGAGUGCAGAAGAGGAGAGUGGAACUCCAUGUGUAGCGGUGAAAUGCGUAGAUAUAUGGAAGAACACCAGUGGCGAAAGCGGCUCUCUGGUCUGUAACUGACGCUGAGGUUCGAAAGCGUGGGUAGCAAACAGGAUUAGAUACCCUAGUAGUC